rnacentral:rRNA from 1 species
UACGUAGGGUGCGAGCGUUAAUCGGAAUUACUGGGCGUAAAGCGUGCGCAGGCGGCUUUGCAAGACAGAUGUGAAAUCCCCGGGCUCAACCUGGGAACUGCAUUUGUGACUGCAAGGCUAGAGUACGGCAGAGGGGGAUGGAAUUCCGCGUGUAGCAGUGAAAUGCGUAGAUAUGCGGAGGAACACCAAUGGCGAAGGCAAUCUCCUGGGCCUGUACUGACGCUCAUGCACGAAAGCGUGGGGAGCAAACAGG